AAGAAAUAUUACUUUGGCCGUUUCCGUGAAGUUUCAACCAGUAUAUAGAAAAAUUCUGAUUAAGUACAGAAAUCCACCAACCAAGCUCAACCACAAACUCCUUCCCUAACUACGUAUCCAAUUCAAUCUAUACUCAGCUUUAACCUUAUCAAAGCUCUGAAUCGGCAGUUCAUCCAAGUUAAAACCCCAGCUCUAAAUCAAGAUCAACCUUAUGAUUUAUGAAACUGUCCAAUUUCUAUAUAUAAUUGCACUGGUGACGCUCAUUGAUCAUCAUCAAUCAUCGAAAAACCAAUCCACAACUCAUUGAGUAAAUUCUUAAACUCUAUGGAUUAGUUAUAGCUAUUCGUAUAACAAACCAAAUCAAACCAAAAGAAAUGGUUGUAAACAAUAUCCGGUAAAAGAAGUAGCUCUAAAUACACAAAAUUCUAGCUAAUAUAGUUCAUUGAAGAUGGAAAUUUUUUUACAACAAAAACCUAAAUCUCAAAUUCUUCAGUAAACAAAAUGAGAAUUCAAAGAUGAUAAAUUCAUUGAUCAGUUCAGGUAUUCAUUAAAAAAUUCUAGGGUUUUUUUCAAUUAUCUAGGGCAAAUCUUUCCAAUCCAAAAACGUAGAUUACGGAAGAAGAUUAAGAUGAACUACCUGAAUCGAAGAAAUCGAAGAUCAAUUCAUUUGAAAUUUUUUCAGAAAGAAGAGAAAAAGGAAUAUCGAAACGAAUAACUCUCCCUUCUGGAAGAGUUUUUUUUGUUGCAGACUUGCAGAGACAAAGCGCGGAGGAGAGAAAUGACGUUUUCGGUAAGAGAGAGAGAGAGAGAGAGAGAGAGAGAGAGAUUGAAGACCAGAGUUUUUAUUUAAUAGUUGUCGUUGAUUUGAAAAAAAAUACAAUCUGUGAUGAUUGAUGAGAUCAAUCAAUGGUCGUGAUAUGAGUUUG
rnacentral:lncRNA from 1 species